CACAUACCGAAAGCAGCUAAACCACAUCUAUUUGAGGGUAGAGAGAGAGAGAGAGAGAGAGCGGCAAAUUGAGACGAAAUAUGGCAAGCCCCCAAGCACCAACGAAGAUCGAAAAGUGGCCGGACUGUGUAGGAAAGAAUGGAGAAGCUGCAGUAAAAAAAAUCAAAGACGAACGCGCUGACCUAGAAGUGAAAUUAAUCACUUAUGGUGAUCCCUUACCUCCUAUAGCCUACGAACCGAAACGCGUUCUUGUUUUCAUCGGUUCGGGCGAUUACGCCAACAUCGUCGUCUUGGUCCCUACAACUGGCUGAGUAAUCACGGUACCAUAUAAAAUAACAUAAAUAAGCUCCUUAUAAGAGGAGCCUGUUCGUGGAUGUGAUAAAAGCAAUGUUAUGUACUAGUUACCCAAGAAAAAGGGAAAUGUUAUGUACUUUCUCUUAUCAAAUAAAAUAACAUAAAUAAGCUCCUUAUUAGAGGAGCGUGUUCUUGAA